GAUGAACGCUGGCGGUGUGCCUAAUACAUGCAAGUCGAACGGGCUCUUCGGAGCUAGUGGCGGACGGGUGAGUAACACGUUGGUACCUACCCCUAAGUGGGGAAUAACUGCCCGAAAGGGUGGCUAAUACCGCAUAAUCCCGCAAGGGUAAAGCAGUAAUGCGCUUAGGGAGGGGCCUGCGUCUGAUUAGCUAGUUGGUGAGGUAAUUGCUCACCAAGGCGACGAUCAGUAGCNGGAUCGAGAGGUUGACCAGCCACACUGGGACUGAGAUACGGCCCAGACUCCUACGGGAGGCAGCAGUAAGGAAUCUUCCACAAUGGACGAAAGUCUGAUGGAG
rnacentral:rRNA from 1 species